UACGUAAAAGACUAGUGUUAUUCAUCUUUAGUAGGUUUAAAGGGUACCUAGACGGUAUAAUUAGUCUUAAACAGAAACGGUUAUGCUAGAGUUAUAUAUGAGAAGGGGAGUAUUUAUGGAGUAGAGUUGAAAUUCUUUGAUCCCAUAACGACUGGUAGCGGCGAAAGCAACCUUUUAUCUAAUAACUGACGUUGAGGGACGAAGGCUCGGGUCACGAACAGGG
rnacentral:rRNA from 1 species